rnacentral:rRNA from 1 species
CGGGUGAGUAAUGCUUGGGAACUUGCCUUUGGGUGGGGGAUAACAGUUGGAAACGACUGCUAAUACCGCAUAAUGUCUACGGACCAAAGGGGGCUUCGGCUCCCGCCUUGAGAGAGGCCCAAGUGAGAUUAGCUAGUUGGUGGGGUAAAGGCCUACCAAGGCAACGAUCUCUAGCUGUUCUGAGAGGAAGAUCAGCCACACUGGGACUGAGACACGGCCCAGACUCCUACGGGAGGCAGCAGUGGGGAAUAUUGCACAAUGGGGGAAACCCUGAUGCAGCCAUGCCGCGUGUGUGAAGAAGGCCUUCGGGUUGUAAAGCACUUUCAGUUGUGAGGAAAGGUUGGUAGUUAAUACCUGCCAGCUGUGACGUUAACAACAGAAGAAGCACCGGCUAACUCCGUGCCAGCAGCCGCGGUAAUACGGAGGGUGCGAGCGUUAAUCGGAAUUACUGGGCGUAAAGCGCACGCAGGCGGCUUGUUAAGCUAGAGGUGAAAGCCCCGCGCUCAACGUGGGAACUGCCUUUAGAACUGGCAGGCUAGAGUCUUGGAGA